GCCAGGCGAGGUGGCACACGCCUGUAAUCCCAGCAGCUUGGGAGGCUGAGGCAGGAGGAUCAAGAGUUCAAAGCCAGCCUCAGCAACUUAGUGAGGCCCUAAGCAACUCAGUGAGGUCCUGUCUCUA
rnacentral:sRNA from 1 species